rnacentral:rRNA from 1 species
CCUACGGGAGGCAGCAGUGGGGAAUAUUGCACAAUGGGGGAAACCCUGAUGCAGCGACGCCGCGUGAGUGAAGAAGUAUUUCGGUACGUAAAGCUCUAUCAGCAGGGAAGAAAAUGACGGUACCUGACUAAGAAGCCCCGGCUAACUACGUGCCAGCAGCCGCGGUAAUACGUAGGGGGCAAGCGUUAUCCGGAUUUACUGGGUGUAAAGGGAGCGUAGACGGCAGCGCAAGUCUGGAGUGAAAUCCCAUGGCUUAACCAUGGAACUGCUUUGGAAACUGUGCAGCUAGAGUGCAGGAGAGGUAAGCGGAAUUCCUAGGGUAGCGGUGAAAUGCGUAGAUAUUAGGAGGAACACCAGUGGCGAAGGCGGCUUACUGGACUGUAACUGACGUUGAGGCUCGAAAGCGUGGGGAGCAAACAGGAUUAGAUACCCUAGUAGUC